UACAGAGGCGGCAAGCGUUGUUCGGAAUUACUGGGCGUAAAGGGCGCGUAGGCGGUCUUGUAAGUCCCGUGUGAAAGCCCCCGGCUCAACUGGGGAACGGCACGGGAAACUGCGAGGCUUGAGUUCGGGAGAGGGAAGCGGAAUUCCGGGUGUAGCGGUGAAAUGCGUAGAUAUCCGGAGGAACACCAGUGGCGAAGGCGGCUUCCUGGACCGAUACUGACGCUGAGGAGCGAAAGCUAGGGGAGCAAACGGG
rnacentral:rRNA from 1 species